CUAGAAUCGGUAGCCAAUGUACCAAGCUGCUUGUAUAGCACAGAGCCGUUCCUUUCAUGUGUAAAUCCCUGUGUUAUCAUUCAUGUACUGGGUAAAGUGACAUAUCUUUAGUAUCCCGUUCCUAGAGUUUGGUAAGUAAAUGUGGGGCCGCCAAACCGAGAAUAAAGACAUUUUGCAAGGAAGCUUUAUAAAAGCUGUGAGGGGGAGCAGCAGGUUACCCAGUGCCG